UUGAUGCUUUGUUUUUUGCCUCUGAACAGCUUAAGUAAAAGGAGGAGGAGGAGGAAGAAGAAGAAAAGACAAAAAGAAAUAGAGAUGGGAUUGAUGUGAAUGGCUUCUCCAUAUUGAAAUUGUUGCCUCUUCCAAUGUUGUUGAAAGUUUGAGCUUCGACUUGGACUUCAGCAUUAAGAGCCGACCAGUGAUAAGUUUGAUGUCUCCUUCUAGUUUGUCGGUUGUGCUUCCCUUUGAUGUCCCUUCUAGAUUUUUCUCCUAGCUUGAUUUUUAAGUUCAGUUUACCUGAUUUUUCUUGUUUUAAGCGUAAAUUACAUUCGAUGUGGCUAGUUUAUGGUAUUUUGCUAGGAA